rnacentral:rRNA from 1 species
CAAAAACAUUUUUUAACGNAAAUGUUAAAUAUGCCCUGCUCCAUGUUUGAUAUAAAUAGCCGCAGAAAAUUUACUGUGCUAAGGUAGCAUAAUCACUUGUCUUUUAAUUUAAGACUAGAAUGAAAGGGUAUACAAUUAAUAGUAAUUUUUAAUUAUAUUAUUUUAAUUUCCAUUAAAAAUAAAAAUAUUUUUAUUUAAUUAAAAGACGACAAGACCCUAUUGAACUUAACUGAAGUUAGGCUGGGGAAGCUUUAUAAUUAUUAUUUUAUUUUACAUUUAUAUAAAUAUCUUAUUUAAAGAAUUAAUCAAGUUACCAAAGGGAUAACAGCGUUAUAUUUUUUUAAAGCUCUUAUUUAUAAAUUUAUAUACGACCUCGAUGUUGAAUUAAUUUUUCUUACCCAUGCAAGAAUAGGUAAAGUAGGUCUGUUCGACUUUUAAAAAAUUACAUGAUCUGAGUUCAAACCGG